GCCACCCAAAACCAUGACAUUGGGUACAAGUGGUGGCAAGAUGUGGAUCUCUCCAGGGCAGUGGUCUCCAACCUUGGUCCUGGAGAGCUACAGGGUCUGCUGGUUUUUGUUUUCACCUUAAUAUCAGCACCCAAUUGAGACCCAAGACACCAGGUUCUGUCUUCUAAAGCCUCAACUCACGUCUUCUCAACCCCCACAAACAAAGCCCCAGUAGUAUCGUCUGUUCAUCCAUGUGGCAAUGUGAUGCGUCUCAGCUCUUCAAGAACCCAGUCCAUUUUUGUCGCCCCCAGUGUCUCUAUCAGCAUUCCAAGGGAUCGCCAGCAGAAAGAGACACCUGCGGUAUUUUGACAUGUACAAUGAAUGACACUAAUUACACAUAAAAAUGCAUUAUCGUUCAAAGUGGGUUCUCGGAAAAUCGUGUCUUACAAGUAUGCAGAGGUUACCGUUUCAGUGCUGUGGAUGUAUACAGGAUAUAAGCCAUUUUGAAUUAGAAGUAAAAGAAACUUGAAUGUACAGGAAAGGAAAAUUGAAAUACUGUACAGUCUUCCUGCAAAAAGAGUGGAGCUAACAAUGAAAUAAAUCUAAUCACGUUUUUCCCUGUCAUGUUCACUUUAAAACUUGCCAAUGAAGGCUCAUUAAAAGUUAAAGUCUCCACGUAAAAACA